rnacentral:rRNA from 1 species
GACCAGACUCCUACGGGAGGCAGCAGUGGGGAAUAUUGCGCAAUGGGGGCAACCCUGACGCAGCAACGCCGCGUGAUUGAAGAAGGCCUUCGGGUUGUAAAGAUCUUUAAUCAGGGACGAAAAAUGACGGUACCUGAAGAAUAAGCUCCGGCUAACUACGUGCCAGCAGCCGCGGUAAUACGUAGGGAGCAAGCGUUAUCCGGAUUUACUGGGUGUAAAGGGCGUGUAGCCGGGCUGACAAGUCAGAUGUGAAAUCCGGGGGCUCAACCCCCGAACUGCAUUUGAAACUGUUGGUCUUGAGUAUCGGAGAGGCAGGCGGAAUUCCUAGUGUAGCGGUGAAAUGCGUAGAUAUUAGGAGGAACACCAGUGGCGAAGGCGGCCUGCUGGACGACAACUGACGGUGAGGCGCGAAAGCGUGGGGAGCAAACAGGAUUAGAUACCCUAGUAG